rnacentral:tRNA from 1 species
GAAGGUAAAUCUCAGUGGUAGAGCGCAUGCUUAGCGCGCAUCAGGUCCUGGCAUGAGGUCCUGGGUUCAAUCCCCAGUACCUCCA